rnacentral:rRNA from 1 species
UACGGGAGGCAGCGGGGGGAAUAUUGCACAAUGGGCGAAAGCCUGAUGCAGCUAUGCCGCGUGUAUGAAGAAGGCCUUAGGGUUGUAAAGUACUUUCAUCGGGGAGGAAAAAACAAAACUAAUAAUUUUAUUUCUUGACGUUACCCGAAAAAGAAGCACCGGCUAACUCCGUGCCAGCAGCCGCGGUAAUACGGAGGGUGCUAGCGUUAAUCAGAAUUACUGGGCGUAAAGAGCACGUAGGUGGUUUUUUUAAAGUCAGAUGUGAAAUCCCUGGGCUUAACCUAGGAACUGCAUUUUGAAACUGAAAUACUAGAGUAUCGUAGAGGGAGGUAGAAUUCUAGGUGUAGCGGUGAAAUGCGUAGAUAUCUGGAGGAAUACCUGUGGCGAAAGCGGCCUCCUAAACGAAUACUGACACUGAGGGUGCGAAAGCGUGGGGAGCAAACAGGGAUUAGAUACC